GACGAACGCUGGCGGCGUGCUUAACACAUGCAAGUCGAACGAAGUGGCGAACGGGUGAGUAACGCGUAAUAAACCUGCUCUUCAGAGGGGGACAACAGUUGGAAACGACUGCUAAUCCCGCAUACUGAAGGAGGGGAUUGCGUCUGAUUAGCUAGUUGGAGGGGGAACGGCCCACCAAGGCGAUGAUCAGUAGCCGGGCGGAGAGGAGGAACGGCCACAUUUGGACUGAGACACUGCCCUGACUCCUACGGGAGGCAGCAGUGGGGAAUCUUCCGCAAUGGACGAAAGUCUGACGGAGCAACGCCGCGUGAGUGAUGACGGCCUUCGGGUUUUAAAGCUCUGUUAAUCGGGACGCGGUACCGGAAUAGAAAGCCACGGCUAACUACGUGCCAGCCGCCGCGGUAAUAC
rnacentral:rRNA from 1 species